UGCAAGUAGAACGCUGAAGGAGGAGCUUGCUUCUCUGGAUGAGUUGCGAACGGGUGAGUAACGCGUAGGUAACCUGCCUGGUAGCGGGGGAUAACUAUUGGAAACGAUAGCUAAUACCGCAUAAGAGUAGAUGUUGCAUGACAUUUACUUAAAAGGUGCAAUUGCAUCACUACCAGAUGGACCUGCGUUGUAUUAGCUAGUUGGUGGGGUAACGGCUCACCAAGGCGACGAUACAUAGCCGACCUGAGAGGGUGAUCGGCCACACUGGGACUGAGACACGGCCCAGACUCCUACGGGAGGCAGCAGUAGGGAAUCUUCGGCAAUGGACGGAAGUCUGACCGAGCAACGCCGCGUGAGUGAAGAAGGUUUUCGGAUCGUAAAGCUCUGUUGUAAGAGAAGAACGAGUGUGAGAGUGGAAAGUUCACACUGUGACGGUAUCUUACCAGAAAGGGACGGCUAACUACGUGCCAGCAGCCGCGGUAAUACGUAGGUCCCGAGCGUUGUCCGGAUUUAUUGGGCGUAAAGCGAGCGCAGGCGGUUAGAUAAGUCUGAAGUUAAAGGCUGUGGCUUAACCAUAGUACGCUUUGGAAACUGUUUAACUUGAGUGCAAGAGGGGAGAGUGAUC
rnacentral:rRNA from 1 species